rnacentral:misc_RNA from 1 species
GAUGAAGAACGUAGCGAAAUGCGAUAAGUAAUGUGAAUUGCAGAAUUCCGUGAAUCAUCGAAUCUUUGAACGCACAUUGCGCCCCCUGGUAUUCCGGGGGGCAUGCCUGUCCGAGCGUCAUUGCAACCUUCAAGCGCGGCUUGUGUGUUGGGUCUCGUCCCCCGUGGACGGACCCGAAAGGCAGUGGCGGCGUCCCGACAUGGUGCCCGAGCGUAUGGGAAUCCUCUUCCGCUCGAAUCGGCCCAUGCGGCGCUGGUCGUAUCCAAAUUUUUUACCGGUUGACCUCGGAUCAGGUAGGGAUACCCGCUGAACUUAAGCAUAUCAAUAAGCGGAGGA